rnacentral:lncRNA from 1 species
AUUUGAUAGUAGAAUUAAACCCGGCACGUCGAAGACAAUUUAUAUAAAUACAUGAUCUAUCUCUACCCGUCUAAGUUUUUAGAUAAAUGUUAAAAAGCUUCAGAAUUCACUGAAAUGUAAAUAAGAGUGAUUGUAAUGUGCGAGUUUUGGGUAAAUGUUCUCGUACACAAUAAUUCCACAAACAAAAUUUACAACAUGAACAAAAGAUGUACACAAUAAUUGCACGAACAAAAUUUACAACAUGAACAAGAGAUGCUGUUGACACAUAAAAAUUCAGCCCAAGUCGAACAGUCCAAGGAGUAAAGCCCAAUUGGAGAAUCCCCAAAACAGACAGCCCAAAGAAUGAAGUUCAAUCAAACGAGUCAAGGUGAAGGCCCAAACAAGAGGCCCAAGAAUGCGGUAAUGCCAUCGCCCAAGUUUGCAAGUCGCUCAAAAUCUGAACGAACGGGUGUCAUACGGUCGCCCAGAGCUGUUAUUCUACUCUCGCCCAAACCUUCAAGUCGCCUAAGGUGUCAACAAACAUAACGCAUCGUAAUUAUCAAGGAAUGCAGUUAUCAAGGCAGUUGUUAAAGCAGCCUUAUCACGUUCCACAACUCAAGGAAGUCAAUCGAAGGCAGUUGGACGAUGAAAGAUAAUGACAGCAGUUAAAAGGCGAUUUCAUGACAAAAUGGCCACUACAAAGAAAGUGGGUAGUUAUAGGACGAUCAAGCAGUUUUCAGAGUAGUUAAUCACAAAGAGAUCGUCUAUGAGGUAUAAAAGGGAGAAAAGGCGUAGAAGCAAAGGACCGAAUCCAAAACUCUCGAACAAGAGAAUAUGUAAUUUUCAUUUCUUUAGCUUUUAGACUUAAAUACUUUCCUUUCUGUAACUCGUGUGCUUGCGCCCCUUGGAGGCACGUUGUUUUUCGUUUCCAAUUGUAAAGUUCAUCGCCAAUAAAAGAACACCCCUUUUUGGGACUUUGUCUCAAGAGGUUUC